rnacentral:rRNA from 1 species
AUGGAUUUCGGUCAGUCUUCUCAGCUGCUGAAACUGAAAGGCACCUGGAAUAGUGUGCAAGAGAAGUGGAUUUUUAUCAGAGCCUCCAUAGUUUGUCGAUGGAUGUGCAGUAGACAGAAGGAAGCUUUUGAUGGCAGAUGCUUUUAUCACUCGGCCUCCAUUGUUGCUUGCUUGUACUUUUGCUCUAGACGCUUUCUUCUUGUAUCAUACAAUCAAGUGAAUGAAAGCAAUGUGAAAUCACAGCUGAGUCCCCAUUUCUGCUCAUCUUGGUAUGUGCUUGUGUGUGGCUUUACUGUUUUUCUUGGUUGCCACCUCGUUUAUUGCUUGGAUAACUUAACACAACUUUGUAUCAAGGCUGGCUCAGCAUACAUUACCAGGUGA